rnacentral:misc_RNA from 1 species
AAGUCGUAACAAGGUUUCCGUAGGUGAACCUGCGGAAGGAUCAUUAACACGUAUCCAAACGUUAAAACCCCCCCCGUGAACCUUCAUCCUGCUCUUGUAACCCGCGUAGUUCGCAAUCUCUGAUAAAUCAUAGCCCGGAAAGUUGUAGUGAUUCAGAGACCUCUGGCUACGUGCGAACAUUGGAACAGUUACAAUCGAGCGGUAGUUCUAUAGGCAAUGUUUCCCCAAGCAGUCAGUGUCGGAAAGUGUCAUUGAUUGUGCAAGGAUAGCGCUUCUACGAUUCCUGUAGACAAGGGUCCCAUGCCCUAAUAACCCCACAGUUUAAUGUGAAGCUCAAUGUAAUACAUUGGGUAAAAAAACCGAACAACUGUUAACAAUGGAUAUCUUGGUUCUC